rnacentral:rRNA from 1 species
UACGGAGGGUGCAAGCGUUAUCCGGAUUCACUGGGUUUAAGGGGUGCGUAGGUGGGCUAGUAAGUCCGUGGUGAAAUCUCUGAGCUUAACUCGGAAACUGCCGUGGAUACUAUUAGUCUUGAAUCUCGUGGAGGUAAGCGGAAUAUGUCAUGUAGCGGUGAAAUGCUUAGAUAUGACAUAGAACACCGAUAGCGAAGGCAGCUUGCUACACGAGUAUUGACACUGAGGCACGAAAGCGUGGGGAUCAAACAGG